rnacentral:tRNA from 1 species
GGCUCGUUCGUCUAUCGGAAAGGACACGGCCCUUUCAAGGCCGAGAGAGGGGUUCGACUCCCCUACGGGUCA